UACGUAGGGUGCGAGCGUUGUCCGGAAUUAUUGGGCGUAAAGAGCUCGUAGGCGGUGUGUCACGUCGAUCGUGAAAACUUACAGCUUAACUGUGAGCGUGCGGUCGAUACGGGCAUCACUGGAGUUCGGCAGGGGAGACUGGAAUUCCUGGUGUAGCGGUGAAAUGCGCAGAUAUCAGGAGGAACACCGGUGGCGAAGGCGGGACUCUGGGCCGAUACUGACGCUGAGGAGCGAAAGCGUGGGGAGCAAACAGG
rnacentral:rRNA from 1 species